AUGAAUGCUGGCGGCGUGCCUAAUACAUGCAAGUCGAGCGGUAAGGCCCUUCGGGGUACACGAGCGGCGGACGGCUGAGUAACGCGUGGGAACAUGCCCCAAAGUGAGGGAUAACCUCGAGAAAUCGAGGCUAAUACCGCAUAUGGUCUUCGGAUUAAAGGAUUUAUCCGCUUUGGGAGUGGCCUGCGUACGAUUAGUUUGUUGGUGAGGUAAUGGCUUACCAAGACUACGAUCGUUAACUGGUCUGAGAGGAUGAUCAGUCAGACUGGAACUGAGACACGGUCCAGACUCCUACGGGAGGCAGCAGUAAGGAAUCUUCCACAAUGGGCGAAAGCCUGAUGGAGCAACGCCGCGUGCAGGAUGAAGGCCUUCGGGUCGUAAACUGCUUUUAUGAGUGAAGAAUAUGACGGUAACUCAUGAAUAAGCACCGGCUAACUACGU
rnacentral:rRNA from 1 species